rnacentral:rRNA from 1 species
AUGAUUUUUUGGGAAAUUCAUCAGCGUCCAAUGCGUGCCACGCGUCCAAAACAAUACAAAAAGGAAAAGAGUUCAAAUCACCCGGAUGAUUUUCUGGGAAAUUCAUCUUCGUCCAACGAGUGCCACGUGUCCAGGCCCACGCACCGGCCGUCGCUCUCCCUUAUCUCCAGGCGCCUUUUCUCCCGCGUUGCUCGUCUGGAAAAUUCCCCUUUUUCUUUCUCCUACCUCUGCCUUCUUCCCCGCUUGUCUUUCUCCAUGACCUCAACCUGGCCGGCGGCCACCGGAGCUACGAGCUGGCCACCGGAGCUGCGACUCACUGCGUGCUGCUGCCAUAAGUUGCUGCAACCCACGGAAGGGAAAGUGCGGUGCUGCGAGUGCCUGAUGUACGGUCGUGAUGAGAUCUUGGCCGACAUAUUUUCUACAUCCCCGCUUCAUUUCGGCGCCGGUGUUGCAAUGGAGCUUCGCUAG